rnacentral:ribozyme from 1 species
ACACAAAGACAACAAGAAGAGGAGAGAAUAGGAAAAAAAAAAACGAAGAGAGAGGAUACAUCAACCGUGUUUGUGUAGAAUGAGGGGAUGAAUGGUUUUCGUGUUGAAUAUGGCACUGUUUCGUUUUCUCUAUUCUUUCUUUUUUUUUGU